CUUGUUUUUGCAGAGGAGCACAAAGGUGUCUUGUUGCUGAGAGCUGAAAAGAAUUCCUGUCAAUCAGUUCUGUGCUCAAGAUCAGCCAAAGGUUCCUUAUCCAAACUUGGAAGCUCAGCCUGCCUCGAACAUCUGUGAUUUCCUGAAAGGACAAUGCUUUUUCCAGAGGAAGAUAAAUCAAAGUUCCCAAACUUCUCUGGAGCACAGAACCACUGCUGGAAUCCUGUGGACCAUCUUUGUGGGACUUGUCACAUGCUGGGGAGUUAGCAGUCAUGUGAGGUCACACAGCAAGGAAGAAUCAUUGCAGCAGAAGAUACUGAUGGCAGACUACAACAUCCACCAUACAGCACUGGAUUGCUCAUAAACACUGUCUUUCCAUGCAGUUCUGCAGAUCUGCUCCAGAAAACUUAACAUAGCCUUCCAAACCAUCAGGGUAUUAGAGGUAAAGUAUUAAACACCACCAAACUUCUAUCCACUGCAUUUUGUAAGUAAUACCAUACAGUGGACCUGUAAAUGUGCUCUAUAUAAUACCUAGCAAUGAUAGUGAGAAUCAGGAUUCAGGAUACCUGAGCUUCAUUCCAAAUUUUGCCUCAGAUACCUGCACCAGUAAUUACUUAACUUACCUAUGCAUCAUUUGCUUUGGAAAAGCAGGCUGGGCUGCAUGGUGUCUUCAUCAUUCACCCAUUCCUCCCACAGUGACUGAAGAAGACUCUUUGUAUUUCCAGGGUCAU